AAAUGGCCCAGUAGUACUUACAUUAAAAGUAUAUAGAAUACCAGUGGCGAGAGUCCCAACUUUGCUCUUGUGAAGUAAUAAAUCCUUAUGGCAUCAAGGGACAAAUUCUCAUGGUCCUCAUUUGCUGCCUGGAGCCUGUGGGAUUUGUGGUGGUGCACGCCGGGGGCACACCUCAGCGUAGGCACUAAUGAGCCCUGAGGGUGCAGACGUUGCCCUGGAGCCUGGGGCUGUGGAUGGCCCCAGGUCACCGUCAGGGUCUCUCUCCACUCUUCUUUCAGGACAGCGGUGUCACUGGGGCUCAUUGCCAUGCACCUGCACAAGCACCACGGUCCAUUGCAUUUGCGAGUCCUGGGCUACAGCCAGGAGAGGUGCGUUUUUUUCCUCCACAUGCACAGUUAUACCCGGUAGAGCAUCUGCCUGAACCCAGGAGAGGAGGAGACAUCUGGGCGUGGAGGUCCUCCAGCUCGAUCUGCACCUUCCCACGUCUGACUUUUCAUGGAACUGGUAGCACAGAAGUAAACACUGGAAAGCAUUGAAAAGGUUACCAUCAGCAGAGGGUGUGAUGGAGAGGUGUCCCUCUUCGCUAGGAAGAUGCAGAGCAUAGCCCUGCUCUGAAAACACGGUCCUGUUUCUUGCCGACCAUCAUUGCAGCCACACAUUUUGGGAGUUUAAACUCCUCAGUCUUCAAUAUUAAAAAAAUCUUUCAUUAGUCAUUUUUAUUUUGUUUCAUUAUUUUCUUGCCAAUUUCUUAAAAAUAUUAGAAAGGUAGCCGUUCAAUGGUCAUGUUGAAUUUCUCUAGUAUUUUUAUGAUUCUUUAUAUUUUUAGUGGUGUUUCUUAUUACAUAGAUAUAUUAAAAAAUAUGAAAUUUUAGCUGUAUUUUGCUUUAUUGCUUUUGAGAACUGCAAUUUGCCUGGUGAGACCUAUCUAAAUUCAAAAUGAUCAGGAACGACUUUUGUGCUUUCUUACAAUAGUUAUAUUUAAUGUUUAAAUAUUUGGUUUGUUAUUUGUUUUGGUGCAAGUGGUGAAUGAGUGGUUCACACUUCCCAGCUCCAAGUGCCCCCCAUUUACCAUGGUUUAUUAUGUUUUCAAAGUAUGUUUGAAUAUAUGUUAAAUGUAGAAUUUCUCUGCCUAGACACAUAAGACUAGUUUCCCAUUUCCUGUGUAUAUGACACAUAAGCUUUAUGCAACAUACCUUCCUAUUUACCAACUUUUAAAUUAAAAAAUAUCAAAACAUAUCUAUAAAGUAAAUAAGGUAGCUCGAUGAUUACCAUUUUCGAUGAGGAAACUGUAAAAGCCAAAGAGCUUUCUGCGGGUUCCUCAUUGUAUCUUGUUGGCAGGCGGGCUGGGGCUGUAGCUUGACGUGUUCAAUCGAUUCCUCUGUGUUGUCUGUAAGACUGGUGUGCUAGGUCUUCAAACAUGCUUUGUUUGAAUGUGAUAAACUCUGAGCAUUGCAAUUGGAUAGAGGUUUCUGCACAUGUAUGUAAAUUACUGCAUUAAAGUUACUUUACAUGUUGUGGUCUUAUUUUCCUCAAGCAGUUUAUGCUUUAGAAGAAAAAAUAUACAUGCUUAAUUUCAUAAAAAUCAGACCCAAUUGAGAAGGAGAUGUUAAUUUUAUGUGUAUGUUGCUUUAGUAAUAUUCAAUUAUCUCAUAUGUUAUUUAUUUAUUUGGGUACUUUAAAAUUACCUCAAGAAUAAUGGUCAAAUGAAUGAGAUGUGUCCUUGAGGUAAAGAACAAAUAAAAUAUUCUUCAUAUAAUG